rnacentral:rRNA from 1 species
CACCUCUAGCAUUACAAGUAUUAGAGGCACUGCCUGCCCAGUGACUAACGUUUAACGGCCGCGGUAUCCUGACCGUGCAAAGGUAGCAUAAUCACUUGUUCCUUAAUUAGGGACUAGAAUGAACGGCUAAACGAGGGCCCAACUGUCUCUUAUUUCCAAUCAGUGAAAUUGACCUUUCCGUGAAGAGGCGGAAAUACAAAUAUAAGACGAGAAGACCCUAUGGAGCUUAAAUCCACAACCUAAUACAUUGAUACUCUACCCACUGGACUAAACAAAAGUUUUUAGGCCAAGGAUUUUGGUUGGGGUGACCUCGGAGAACAAACUAACCUCCGAAAGAUUUUAACCAAGACUAACAAGUCAAAGUAAUACUUAUCCAAUUGACCCAAUAUUUGAUCAACGGACCAAGUUACCCUAGGGAUAACAGCGCAAUCCUAUUCAAGAGUCCAUAUCGACAAUCAGGGUUUACGACCUCGAUGUUGGAUCAGGACAUCCCAGUGGUGCAGAAGCUACUAAAGGUUCGUUUGUUCAACGAUUAAAGUCCU